ACACUAUCAUUAACUGAAUCCAUAGGUUAAUGAGGCGAACCGGGGGAACUGAAACAUCUAAGUACCCCGAGGAAAAGAAAUCAACCGAGAUUCCCCCAGUAGCGGCGAGCGAACGGGGAGGAGCCCAGAGCCUGAAUCAGCAUGUGUGUUAGUGGAAGCGUCUGGAAAGGCGCGCGAUACAGGGUGACAGCCCCGUACACAAAAGCGCAUGUGCUGUGAGCUCGAUGAGUAGGGCGGGACACGUGGUAUCCUGUCUGAAUAUGGGGGGACCAUCCUCCAAGGCUAAAUACUCCUGACUGACCGAUAGUGAACCAGUACCGUGAGGGAAAGGCGAAAAGAACCCCGGCGAGGGGAGUGAAAAAGAACCUGAAACCGUGUACGUACAAGCAGUGGGAGCACCCUUUGGGUGUGACUGCGUACCUUUUGUAUAAUGGGUCAGCGACUUAUAUUCUGUAGCAAGGUUAACCGAAUAGGGGAGCCGGAGGGAAACCGAGUCUUAACCGGGCGUUAAGUUGCAGGGUAUAGACCCGAAACCCGGUGAUCUAGCCAUGGGCAGGUUGAAGGUUGGGUAACACUAACUGGAGGACCGAACCGACUAAUGUUGAAAAAUUAGCGGAUGACCUGUGGCUGGGGGUGAAAGGCCAAUCAAACCGGGAGAUAGCUGGUUCUCCCCGAAAGCUAUUUAGGUAGCGCCUCGUGAAUUCAUCUCCGGGGGUAGAGCACUGUUUCGGCUAGGGGGCCAUCCCGGCUUACCAACCCGAUGCAAACUGCGAAUACCGGAGAAUGUUAUCACGGGAGACACACGGCGGGUGCUAACGUCCGUCGUGAAGAGGGAAACAACCCAGACCGCCAGCUAAGGUCCCAAAGUCAUGGUUAAGUGGGAAACGAUGUGGGAAGGCCCAGACAGCCAGGAUGUUGGCUUAGAAGCAGCCAUCAUUUAAAGAAAGCGUAAUAGCUCACUGGUCGAGUCGGCCUGCGCGGAAGAUGUAACGGGGCUAAACCAUGCACCGAAGCUGCGGCAGCGACACUGUGUGUUGUUGGGUAGGGGAGCGUUCUGUAAGCCUGUGAAGGUGUGUCGUGAGGCAUGCUGGAGGUAUCAGAAGUGCGAAUGCUGACAUAAGUAACGAUAAAGCGGGUGAAAAGCCCGCUCGCCGGAAGACCAAGGGUUCCUGUCCAACGUUAAUCGGGGCAGGGUGAGUCGACCCCUAAGGCGAGGCCGAAAGGCGUAGUCGAUGGGAAACGGGUUAAUAUUCCCGUACUUGGUGUUACUGCGAAGGGGGGACGGAGAAGGCUAUGUUGGCCGGGCGACGGUUGUCCCGGUUUAAGCGUGUAGGUGUGUGUUCCAGGUAAAUCCGGUUCACUUUAACACUGAGGCGUGACGACGAGGCACUACGGUGCUGAAGCAACAAAUGCCCUGCUUCCAGGAAAA
rnacentral:rRNA from 1 species